rnacentral:lncRNA from 12 species
UGAAAGUGACUGUUCAAUUCUAAUUCUUACCCUUCACCAUGAGCUGUGUCUGUUUCACAUACAAGGAAAGUUCUGCCAAAGAAUCUGGUCAAAGUCACUCUUUAAGUGGCAGGACCAGACUCAGGGGCCCUGAGUGUCACCAAGCUCUCUGCCUCCCAGGGAGCCCCUGGAAGGCUGGCGUGAGGAGGCCUCCUCCAUACCCCCACCCCUGCUGAGCAACAGCCAGACAGGGCUGAGAUACUGCGGGUGCCAACUGCAGAAGCCACUUAAUUGUUCAUCUUUGGUAGCCCUCAUGGUUUGAGGGGUGGAGAGCAGAGUCUCAUGUCACAUCCUGCUCUCAUACUUGGUCCCUGAUCCCUUCAUGUCCAGCUGAGAGAGCUCAGGUGCACCUUUCUCUCCCCUCCCCACUCCUCUUGGCCUAUAGCCAUGCUCAGAAACACAUCCACACCUUUAAUAUUCAAGUCCCUUCUAAACUGUUUAGCUCCUACGCAUCCCUCAAAGUCCAGCUCAUGUGGCCCUUCUGAGAACCCUGACUCCUUCCCCCAGUCAAAACUCAUCACUCUAUUCAAUCCUUUGUAGUCACUAGAACUAACUUUCCACCUGAUGGCAGCUGAGCCCUCUGUGUCUGACUCCCAACCUGAUGCAUGUGGGGGCUCAGGAAACAUUUUGAGGGGGUGAGAGGGUGAGCGAUGCCUGAGGGCUCCUCCAUGCCCCACAGUACUGGCUUUCCCCAGCCCAGAGGGGCCCCUGGAGUGGGUCUGGGAGCCCUCUGAGGUAACAGAGCCCUAUGAAUAGUGGUCACCAUGGCGACUCCAAUGAACAAUGGAGGGGGGCUGCUCCCUGGCAACCACCCAGUGGUCUUCACCAGCAGUUCAGCAGUGUGGAUCUGCACUCCUGGGCUUCAGCACACACCAGAGUGGUUCACGUGUUUUCUGAUGUUAUGAGAGAGAGUGGAGAGGGCUGCUCGUGAGGGAAGAGUGCCCAGACGCAACGGGACCCCC